AUUGAACGCUGGCGGCAGGCCUAACACAUGCAAGUCGAGCGAGCGGCGGACGGGUGAGUAAUGUCUGGGAAACUGCCUGAUGGAGGGGGAUAACUACUGGAAACGGUAGCUAAUACCGCAUACCAUCAGAUGUGCCCAGAGGGGAUGAGCUAGUAGGUGGGGUAACGGCUCACCUAGGCGACGAUCCCUAGCUGGUCUGAGAGGAUGACCAGCCACAAGGGAGCUGAGACACGGGCCAGACUCCUACGGGAGGUAGCAGUGGGGAAUAUUGCGAACGGGGGGAAAGCCGGAUGCAGCCAUGGCGGGGGUAUGAAGAAGGCUUUCGGGUUGUAAAGUAAUUUCGGCGGGGGGGGGUUACCCGCAGAAGAAGCACCGGCUAACCCCGGGCCAGCAGCCGGGGUAAUAC
rnacentral:rRNA from 1 species